rnacentral:rRNA from 1 species
UACGGAGGGUGCAAGCGUUAAUCGGAAUUACUGGGCGUAAAGCGCACGCAGGUGGCUGAGAUAGUCGAUUGUGAAAGCCCUGGGCUUAACCUGGGAAUUGCAUUCGAUACUACUCGGCUAGAGUAUGAGAGAGGGCAGUGGAAUUCCCGGUGUAGCGGUGAAAUGCGCAGAUAUCAGGAGGAACACCGGUGGCGAAGGCGGAUCUCUGGGCCUUACCUGACGCUCAGGCGCGAAAGCUAGGGGAGCGAACAGG